rnacentral:rRNA from 1 species
UGGGGGAUAUUGCGCAAUGGGGGCAACCCUGACGCAGCAACGCCGCGUGAAGGAUGAAGGUUUUCGGAUUGUAAACUUCUUUUAUUAAGGACGAAACUUGACGGUACUUAAUGAAUAAGCUCCGGCUAACUACGUGCCAGCAGCCGCGGUAAUACGUAGGGAGCAAGCGUUGUCCGGAUUUACUGGGUGUAAAGGGUGCGUAGGCGGCUUUGCAAGUCAGAUGUGAAAUCUAUGGACUCGACCCAUAAACUGCAUUUGAAACUGUAGAGCUUGAGUGAAGUAGAGGCAGGCGGAAUUCCCCGUGUAGCGGUGAAAUGCGUAGAGAUGGGGAGGAACACCAGUGGCGAAGGCGGCCUGCUGGGCUUUAACUGACGCUGAGGCACGAAAGCGUGGGUAGCAAACAGGAUUAGAUACCCUGGUAGUCCACGCUGUAAACGAUGAUUACUAGGUGUGGGGGGUCUGACUCCUUCCGUGCCGGAGUUAACACAAUAAGUAAUCCACCUGGGGAGUACGGCCGCAAGGUUGAAACUCAAAGGAAUUGACGGGGGCCCGCACAAGCAGUGGAGUAUGUGGUUUAAUUCGAAGCAACGCGAAGAACCUUACCAGGUCUUGACAUCCAACUAACGAAGUAGAGAUACAUUAGGUGCCCUUCGGGGAAAGUUGAGACAGGUGGUGCAUGGUUGUCGUCAGCUCGUGUCGUGAGAUGUUGGGUUAAGUCCCGCAACGAGCGCAACCCUUGCUAUUAGUUGCUACGCAAGAGCACUCUAAUAGGACUGCCGUUGACAAAACGGAGGAAGGUGGGGACGACGUCAAAUCAUCAUGCCCCUUAUGACCUGGGCUACACACGUACUACAAUGGAUGUUAACAGAGGGAAGCAAGACAGCGAUGUGGAGCAAACCCCUAAAAACAUUCUCAGUUCAGAUUGCAGGCUGCAACCCACCUGCAUGAAGAUGGAAUUGCUAGUAAUCGCGGAUCAGCAUGCCGCGGUGAAUACGUUCCC